rnacentral:sRNA from 1 species
AAUCUACCUUUGCUCAACCUUCAUUCCCAUUUUAAUUGCCACAACCAUUAUGCAAGCGUCUCCACUACAAUUUUCUCCUACUUGAAGCCACCAUAAAAUGCUAAUCUUCAACGGCAAUUGCUCUCUGGAGAGCCCCGAGAUGAUGUUUUUCCUACACACAAAACGAUUUAUAUAAACGAUCAACAACAAAAGCCGCAGCGCAGCAGCAGCAGAAAAUGUGUUCAGAGCGUGAAAGUGCUCUUGAUGACAGGCAGGCGGCAAUUAUUUCGCCAAAUGCUGGACAAAUAAAAAAUAAACAAUAACACUUGCUUUAAUUUAUGGCAUGAAGAGUGGCGGCAGGCAAUUGAAGGCAUGAAGAGAAGGUGUAUGACGAUUAAGGAGCCUUUCUAUGCACUUCUCAGAGUUUGAAGCAGAAACCUUGAAUUGAUUGGACCUCCUCUUCUUAAUCAAUCAGGAAUCAAUCGACAGUACAGUCACAGGCACAGGCACAGGCAGUAAAGUGUAAUUCAAUUUCUUGGCAACAGAAAACUGAUCGGAUCCGAUCUGAUCUGAUCUGAUCUGCAGAGAUCCACACCCACGCUGCACGUAAAUGCAUUAAAAUCGAAUUAACCCAAAUUACAUUUCCUUUGUUGCUCUCCAAGAUACAAAUCAAAAUGAAUUGAAAAAGUCAAGACAAAGCCAGAGGCGGCACAGGCGGGGAAGGAGGGAGGGUGGCGGAGGCAGUGGCAGUGGCAGUGGCAAAGCCUAUUGAAGUGCAGCCAACUGUAUGCCACACAGAGCCAAUGGCAAUCAAUCGGAUGAUUGAAAAAGCCUCCACUCCAUCGCCACAGCCACAGCCACAGCCAUUGCUGCCUCCGCCCCCACAGCCACUGCAUAACAUUUCAAUUUGGCCACAACAAUGUGUACUGCAAUAUGCAAUAUGCGAUUAAAUGUGCAGCCAAAGUGAGAUUACAAGCCACAGGCGGCACCGCAAGAGUCGCGUCCGCCACCAAACGCCAACAUCGAUGCUCACAGGCCACAGUUUUGCCCCUGACUCUCCGUCGUUUGUGCUCCAGUUUGUGCCCCACCUGAGCGGAACUGAGCUCCAGCUUACAGGCUGCCACAGCUCCUACUUGCCUCCUCCUCCUCCUCCACCGCGUAGCAGCGUCAAUCAAAGUCAUCACCACUUGACAUACAAAAGACGUUCGAGUCACUGCGAGAAAAGACUUCAGUAUGUUCUAACUAUUUCGAUCUGGAAACCACUUUGACUCGCAGUAGAAUGCGGCAGGGACUGCAAUAGCCCACCGAGGGGCACUGCCGCAUGACGGAGUCCAAAGUGUUUUCCCUCUCGAUUCUCGGUCAACUUUUGUGUUCAUUCAUCUUUUGAAGAUGACGCUGAUGAUGCUAUUGUGAGAGAGAACCUCUCACAUAAUAAUAUUUAAUGUGAGGCCAUUGUCCACCUGACAGACGAGAGCACGUGCUGUGAGGAAUGAAUGGAACCUCAAGUUACAUCACAAAUACAAGUGGGUCUUCAAUUAGAACGAUCUCCUCCAUAAUCUGGGCAUUCCGUCAGUGCAAUAACAACAUUUAAUCAUUUCAAAAGGCGACACUCCCUCUAAAUCAACAUACGAUCCCCACAAUUUGUGAGGCGUGCGCCGCAAUCAAUCGACACUUUGGGGCGCAUCGAAUGUUUCAACACUCGAAACGAAUCAAGCAUGGAAAUGGGGAAACUAUUCGGGCGAAUACUCGUACCAGGCCUGGACAAGAGGGGCAUUGUGCAAGGUCUGUGGAGGGGCACGACCGCACCGUAUAAAAGAUCGAGUAUAUAUAUGUAUGUGUAUAAAUAUUAUCUCAAAUGUGGAGCAGAUCUCGUGAGCUGCUGCUGCUGCUGCUGCCACAUCUUCUGUUUAUGCUCGAAAAAACCCAAAAUAAACAACGAAAUGAGUUUCCUCAAACUAUAAAUAAUCGAGACGACGGGCCGCCCCACUAGCCGCCGCAUAUGGGGGCCAUCAGAAGCCCAGAUCCCAGACCACAGACCCCAGACCCCAGACUGAUUCUUAACCUCAUCUCUAUCUUUGGAAUAUGUGGGAAUGUUAUACCUGUGGGAAAAACGUGUCACGCCACAUGCAGCAGUACCCCUCAGUCGUUCGGCUAGGCUUCUGCCUGGAAUCCUUCGAUUGGCUGUCUCUUGAUCAGUCCCAAUUCGAUAUAGAGAUCCAUUCUUGGUCUAGAUUUCGUUGUUGACCAUCUAUCUGUCGUUUAAUAGAUCAUAGCACUUAUAUUUUUACAGAUAUUGCUCUGGUUUUUGGUAGUUGUACAGAUAAAAACAUUUUGUACCCAAAUUUCCAAACUUAUAGCGAUUGAAUCAAUCUAUAAUGUAUGCCCGGUAAUCACAGGUAUUCAAGUGGUCUAUAUUCGAUCCUCAAACGUGCACAAUUUGUUUAGAAUUCAAGCGAUUUCCCUGGAAAUAUUUAUACGACAAGGCUUUUAACCGCAUUUCCUGUUAAUCAAUUCACACGAGAAGUUAAUCAGAGAUACUUUUUACCACCGGAAUCUGUGUUUACUCUGUGGGUUAAUUAGAUGUGGCAUCAACAGACUACGGGGCAAGGUCUCUUCAUCGUUUGAAAAGAGUCUCCCGUCUGAGGUUUCUCUGCCUCCA